CUUGAGCGCUUCCACGUGCUCACAGUUGACCGCUUCUUUUUACAGGCUCACUUUCGCCCCCACCUGUGGCUUGUUAAGGCUAACCCGGAACAUGUUCCACGUGUGCCCGUGGGUCUUACCCACCGGCAGUUUUACUUCACGGGCUCUCAUUUGCUGGAAACACUGGCUGAAAGGGCACAGAUCCCUGUGAGGCGCCCCCAUGCCACGACAAACAGCUUCUCCACGAAGCAGGUUUUGCGGGUGACUUUCCUUAGGUCGUCCUGCAUGGAAAAAUGACAUUGUUGAAGGAAUUGGUCCCAGACGGGUGGCCCCCUAGGGCCAUGCACAUCCACUGAAACAGCUGCUUUUGGUGAAGAGAUGUUGGUCUCUCCCGGGCAUCGGGGCCAGGCCCACAGUGUGUUUGUCUGAGGCGGAAAUCUUCAGCACAGCCUGAGAGUGCUCCAGCCACUAGCCAGCCAGGGCACCGCCUAGAUCUCGAAAGGCAGCUACCUCACUUCCUUCCGCCUUUGAGGGGAUCUUUUUCCCUGGGGCAGUUCCAACGCUGACGCGCUGCACGUGGUAUUCGGCAAUUCACACGCGGACGUACACGCAGCCUUCCACCGCGGCGCUACUGAUAUCCCAGGCGUCAGCGUCAGUGAACCCGGCACCAGCUGUGACGGACUCUGCGAGCGAAAGCUGCCGAGUUGGCGCCAGCUUCAGCGUCUUCAGGGGCUGCUUCUCUACAGUGUAGAGAAGUCAAAGAAGACAGGGGAGUCUGUCUAGCCUCUACAGGACGGCUAGCCAAAAUGUCAGCUCAGUUGGUGGGCACCCGGGUGGUGGUGCCCAUUCCAUCCGUUUCUACCGGAAGCUGUUUUGAGAGUCCACUUCUCCUCGUGGUUGUGGAAGCCGGACGUGUUGGUGGGGCGCUUAUUGCCCAGGGUGCGGAUCUCAUCAAGGAAUUAGAUGCCGGCGGCCCUUGUGGAGCUUCCUUGGAGGGGCUCCACAAAUCAGCGGCGUCUUAGAGGCCUGGUUGACCUCCAUGGACGUCAGGAAGAGCGUGGGGUUCUCCCGUGCCACGGCCUGGCUGGGUCCCCGUGUCUUCCCCCAGCCGAGGCGGUGGGCUGGCGAACCACGGCGGGCCCUUCUGAACUUUGGCGCCCCACUGCUGGAAGCAUGAUAGCCUCUUCAGAUAAUCCACAGCCUCUGACUGCUAGUUUGGCCUCAUGCAUUCCUGCUGUGUCUCUGAAGGGGACUCCUUGCCACAUGUCGCUGCCCACAAUCGAGAAAGAAGACGUUUAAAGUUGAUGAAAAGCCAGCCCUGAGCCUUCCUUCUCUUACAGACAUUGCAGUCAGCUGGCAGCUGACACAGCGAAGCCCACUGAUGCCAUCCUGAAGGCGAGGAGGGUAUUUCCAAAGAAGUCCAAAGGCUUAUAGGAAACUGGGAUCCUGACCUUGCCUUCCUUCCACAUUCAGUUCAUCUUCAGCUAGCCUGAAAGCUUCUCUUCAGAUUUGUGGGCAUUUGCAGCACGCAGUCAGCGAGUGCAUCCCGGGCAGCCGAGGCACCUGGAACACCACGGUGCCGGCACCGUCCUUUGCCGGCGUCUCGGGGACAAAAUCGGCCCGGGAGAUGGCCCCACUGGUGCUGAGCCAGUUCAGCAGGCUCACCACGAUGGCGACGAGGAAACAAGAUUCCAAAGAGGUUUCCAUUCUUCGAUGAAGGAUACAUGUUUCUUCUGUAUUUUUCCACAGUAAAAUUGAGUUUAUUCUAAGUUAUAUCUGAGAGUAAAAACAAAACACAAUUCUUUCAGAAUGUGAUUUCCUGGAUAUGUGGCAAAACCUGAAGUAAGACCAGAUUAUACUAUGUUGUCUGUGUGCCCAGUUAAAGAAUGUUCAACAUCACAACUUAGAAACAGUAUCAGAGAGCAUGGCCACAAACAGCAUGCAGGGCACAGCUUUAGAGUUCUCAGAGACACUUUUUAGGUCAGUAAUUAGAUGAAUCUAGAAGCUCUUCUGUCGUUUUUGUAAAUAAUACCAUGACACUCAUUCUCUCUGUCCUUUGGUAGUCACUAGUUAUGUUCCAGACAGAAUGGUCUUAGUCUUUUUUGAAGUGUAUCAGUUUCAUUCCACAGUCUUCCUUAGCCAAUCCUCUUCUGCCUUUUCCCCAUAAUCCUAUUCUCCUUUAAAUAGGGUGAUGAUAAAUUUUGGCUUGUUCCAGUUUUGAAAUAAUCCAGUUGUUCUGGAAUAGCUGUUCUAGUUGGGCAAUGAAUUAAGAUUGUCCUGCCUUUAAGCUUCACCUCAUUUUUUACCUCAAUUAGAUAUGGUCACUUUGUUCAUAUUAUACUAUUGUAACACAAUUAUAAAUAUUUUAAAAAUCCUUGAAACAACUUGGGAGCAAGUUUUGUGUCUUACUCAUCGUUGUAUUCUCAGAAUCUAGAACACUUCUCCACAUAUGUUAAUGCUUAAAAAGUACUUAUUGAACGAAUAAAUGAAUAAAUGAAUAUGUGAAAAUUAAGGAAGAAAGGGAAACUUGGAGUCUUUAGGAUACAAUCAAACAAGUAGCCUAGGGGAAGUACUGAACUUGCUCUUUCAAAUAGUUGGCCACAUACCAACAUUUCCUUCAUCAAGGGUGUUUGGAUUAAAGAAAUAUGAAGUCUACUAAGAUUCAUGACCAAGCUAUGGUGGUCUGCUUUUAUUUUCUAGUUCAACAUUCCCACCUCACCUCCUUUAAGAAAUUAAGGUUGAAAAUGUUAAAAGCACUCAGGGAAGUUAUGGGGGAAUGUUUUCUGUCCCCAGUAGUAACUCACAUUUGAGUUUUGGAAUAUUUCAGUGUAUUUCAAAUAACACAAAUCCUCCAAAACACUCCUUUGUUUCCAGAGUGACAAAAACUUGGCAUUUAUUUUACAGAAGGUAUAUUUUAAUGUAUCUAUCUUAAGUCAUUAAAAUUAGUAUUGCCUAAAAAACACAUGUAAGAAUGCACACCAAAACAGUCUAUAAAUGAGAAGAAAUUAAUCUUCUAAAAAUAGUAUUAAAUAUACAUUUAAGAUUCUCAAUUUUGAAUGGAACAGGUUUAUUAAAAACUUUUGUUUAAAUAAAGAAUAAAUGUUAAUUUUCUACAUGCUUGUGAAAGAUUAAUGUAGUUUUUGAGUAGCAUAUGUUUCUAAUACAAAUUGAAAUGAAACUAUUCUUUAAUAGAUUUUGCAUUCAGUAAAUUAGAGCUAAUAAAUACUGUAUAUGAUGCAUAUGUGAAGUGACUUCUAUGAAUAUAUUUCUUAGAUUUAUCCUAAUAAAAAUUGCAGUUGCAUUUCA